rnacentral:rRNA from 1 species
AAGGGCACCACAAGAACGCGUGGAGCAUGUGGCUUAAUUUGACUCAACGCGGGAAAUCUUACCGGGUCCGGACACACUGAGGAUUGACAGGCAAUAUUAAUUUCUGCAGCUUCGGCUAAAGUUAUUAUGUUAAAUAUGCUAGUCCUUUCAUGAUUAUGUGAUAGGUGGUGCAUGGCCGUUCUUAGUUCGUGGAGUGAUCUGUCUGCUUAAUUGCGUUUCACUAAGGGCCUAUAAAUUACGUGUGUUGCGGUACUUUGACCCCUCUUUUUUCACGAGAAGAGCGCGUGUCUUAGUUUGCUUAGCUCACACAAUUAGGUCCUGAAAGCAACGAACGUGACCGCAACCUCUUGUUGCCUUUAUACCAAACAUGGAUAUUCUCUUCGGAGGGUUUCAUGAAAAAAGGCUUUUUAAACUAGAGGGACCGCUGUUACUUUCUUAAACCAGAGGAAGGUUGCGGCAAUAACAGGUCUGUGAUGCCCUUAGAUGUUCCGGGCUGCACACGUGCUACAAUGAUUAUUGCAGUGAGCAUCUCAUUUUUUACACACCGCAUACGCGAGUCCAUUUAUUCACUCUCGGGUGCUUUAAAUGUGCAUCUCUGCGAGCGGUAAAGCCUGCUUCGAAAGUAAGUGGGUAAUCAAUUAGAAGUAAUGAUUUCCUUUUUUUCUAGCACACAUAUAUACGGCGUUUAUACCCGGGCUGCCUUGUUGUAGCUUUUGUGCGUAUAGAUGUUUUUUCCGUAUGUGCGAUUGUCAAUUCAUGGUGGGGACAGACCAUUGUUAAUUGUUGGUCUCGGUCUUAACUAGGAAUGCCUUGUACGGGUCUUUGGUUCAACAAACCACCCGGAAUACGUCCCUGCCCUUUGUACACACCGCCCGUCGCUCUUACCGAUGGACUUCUCUGUGAGUUUGAGGGACUGGGAACGCAGGUUUUUUAUUAAAUCUGCACACCUAUGGAAACUUAAACGAACAGUGUGGUCUAAAGGAAAGAGAAGUCGUAACAAGGCAUCGGUAGGUGAACCUGCAGAAGGAUCA